CGCGUAGGUGGUUGUGUAAGUCAGAUGUGAAAUCCCGAGGCUCAACUUCGGAACUGCAUCUGAUACUGCAUGACUCGAGUGCAGCAGAGGGAAACGGAAUUCCUGGUGUAGAGGUGAAAUUCGUAGAUAUCAGGAGGAACACCGGUGGCGAAAGCGGUUUCCUGGGCUGACACUGACACUGAGGCGCGAAAGCGUGGGUAGCAAACA
rnacentral:rRNA from 1 species